rnacentral:rRNA from 1 species
AGAUUGAACGCUGGCGGCAUGCCUAACACAUGCAAGUCGAACGGGAGUAGCAAUACUCUAGUGGCGGACGGGUGAGGAAUACGUAGGAAUUUGCCCUUAAGUGGGGGAUAACCCGGGGAAACCCGGAUUAAUACCGCAUGACCUCGAAAGAGCAAAGUGGGGGAUCGCAAGACCUCACGCUUUUGGAGAAGCCUACGUCGGAUUAGCUAGUUGGUGAGGUAAUGGCUCACCAAGGCGACGAUCCGUAACUGGUCUGAGAGGAUGAUCAGUCACACCGGAACUGAGACACGGUCCGACUCCUACGGGAGCAGCAGUGGGAUAUUGGACAAUGGCGCAAGCCUGAUCCAAGCAAUG